GGUAGAAGGGACAUUUUCUGAGACUGAAGCAAGAGGGGAAAAAAGGGCAGCUUCUCCAAUGUGACAAACUGUCUAGGGCCCAAGUCUCCCCCAAAGGGGCUGUGGUAGCAGAUGGAGAUGAGCAACGGCCACUGGUGGAGCUACUAGACCAGCGGUCAUCCAGGUGACAAACUCUUGAACAAGUAAUUCUAGGAUGAAAACGGAGACCAAUAUUACAAAACAUGCUAUCCCAGAUUCUUCUGAUGAGGCUGAUGCUUUUCAACUGGUUUUGCUAUUGUUCUCGUCAAUGGUUGUCCGCACAGGAGCUGGCCAGGUUAAACUAAAGGAAAUAGCCACCUGGCUUCACCUAGGCUUUCUCUCCUGAAGCACC
rnacentral:lncRNA from 1 species